CUUCCCUUCUGGAACACCAGCAGAUGUUCACACAGCUCUCAACUACUGAGCCACACUCAAAAUUAAAUAGGCUGCUUGGACAAUUGCAAAGAUAUGAGAGAUAGCCUGUGAACAAGGCUGAAGGAGACGAUUUAUCGUCUCCAUGAAGCCUCUCCUUUAAGACUGGAAGAGGUGGCUGUCUUACCAAAUGUACAGAACGACACAGAGUCAAGCAAAAUGAGGAAACAAACGAGUGUGUUCUAAACAACAGCAGCAAAAAGCCUCCUGUUGAUUUUUGUUCAACAUUAGACAUCAGAAGUGGGACUCAUCUCUGUCUCUAAUGCAAGCAAAGCACCUACAGGAGUCCUUUGUACUCUGUUGCCUCCUCAUCAGUCUUGGAUUACGAGUGAAAACAACUCCUCCAAGAAUCCAGUGAGCCUGCUUUCCUGGGAGAAACUUGGAAGAUACAAGUAUUCUUGCCUAGAGAAUCCCAGGGACUGGGGAGCCUGGUGGGCUGCCGUCUAUGGUGUUGCACAGAGUCGGACACGAACGAAGCGACUUAGCAGCAGCAGCAGCAGCAGCAAACAAUUAAUGAGCAACUGAACUGAACUGAACUGAAACAGGUAAUAACUUGGUGUUUAAGAACAUACAGUGUUGUGUCAGAAGGGAUUAGAUUUGAAUUGGUGAAACUGUGCUUCAGUUUAAUAAAGUUCAGAAUAUAAUAUCUAGUUCAUAAGGUUGUUAUGUCAAUCAAAAAAGCUAAUGCAUAAAACAAUAACC
ensembl:lncRNA